UACGAGGGGGGCAAAUGUUGUUCGGAAUCACUGGGCGUAAAGGGAGCGUAGGCGGGGGUUUAAGUUAGGUGUUUAAUCCUGGGGCCCAACCCCAGUCGUGCACCUAAAACUGGACAUCUUGAAUAGGGGAGAGGUCAGUGGAAUUGGAGGUGUAGCGGUGGAAUGCGUAGAGAUCUCCAAGAACACCAGUUGCGAAGGCGGCUGACUGGACCCAUAUUGACGCUGAGGCUCGAAAGCAUGGGGAGCAAACAGG
rnacentral:rRNA from 1 species